AAUGCUGACAUUAAAAUUUUCUCCGUGAACGAAAGACCUGGACUCACAACACACUUCCUUUUAAAGAGCCAUGUUUAAGUAGGACCCGAUCACCUGCAAUGUAACCAACCUUCACACAGUGAGCCUUUUCAUUUAACUGGACUUUACAGGAUUUCAACCCACUGAAGAAGGUCCUCUAAAUAUUUAUAGUGAUUUUUCAAUAGAUGAGAGAAACAGGCACGUAAUCCAUUCUUUGCUUAACAAAGACUUACCAUGUGUCCACGAAGUGUUAGACAGUCUUACUAGACUCCAGGAAUGGGAUGAUGAGCAGUGCUCACACCGAUUCCCUGUUGAGUUUUAGGAACCGUUGCUGUUUUGGAAUCUCACUGCCAUAGCACCCUCACAAACAUCUCCGCUAGUAAAUUCAUCUCCUGACAGCGACAUUCUGCUCCUACCGCGGCCUUAGGUGACAGAUGCAUAGUAAGCAGCAUAUGCGUGAUUCAAGAACUCAUUACUUUGAAAAGCAACAGAGGAGAUGUGUCACCGAUUGUAUUUUCUCCAAGAAAAUGAAACGUUUUACUGCAGUGUAUCUGUACUGAGGAAGACACCCUGCCUCAAGCAAGUCACAUCCUCAGGUUUCAGAGAAUGGAUAGGAGAACAGGACCAAGCCUGCUUCAGAGGAGCCCGAGUUCUGCGAGGCUAACAACUUGUAGACUGGCUUAUGCAACAUCACCGGGCCUGGAAGAACCAGGGGCCGCAGGCAUUGGUGUCCCUGCUUCUGCACAACACACAACCAUUCACUUAUAGACACAGGAGCAGCGGAUACCCAAGUGCCACUACAGUGAAGUAACAGAUCUCUUCUCCCAUAUUCUUGGACAAAAAUAUACCUGCUUGGUGGCACAUAAAGUCACCAUGCUUCACAUUUGAAGGGCAAGCUAUUGUGAAUUGUCCAAAGACUUUGCAAUUUGAUUACAAUACAAUUUUAUGGAAAAUAAAUAAGAGGCUACACAUUUCCAUCAUUUGUGAAGAAAGAAAGCAGAUUCCUGUUAUAAGACCAUAAGGAAAAGGUUGGGGAAGGAGCAAGGCUUUCCUGACAAGAACCAGAGGACUUUGGUAGAUUGGAGCCUGAUCUGAAUCAACACUAAAGAUGACUAAGAAAACCUAACAUACAUUUGUUCUGGCUGAUCUUUACAAUAUUACAUUUGCACAGAUAAAACCAAGAAAAUUAAACAUUUAGUCUACUUCC